rnacentral:rRNA from 1 species
GACGUAGGGCGCGAGCGUUGUCCGGAUUUAUUGGGCGUAAAGAGCUCGUAGGCGGUUUGUCGCGUCUGUCGUGAAAGCCCACGGCUUAACCGUGGGUCUGCGGUGGAUACGGGCAGACUAGAGGCAGGUAGGGGAGAAUGGAAUUCCCGGUGUAGCGGUGGAAUGCGCAGAUAUCAGGAGGAACACCGAUGGCGAAGGCAGAUCUCUGGGCCGUAACUGACGCUGAGGAGCGAAAGCGUGGGGAGCGAACAGG